GUGCGGACAUGACACCGCUUGGCAAGCCAUGCUGUGAGUGUACAACAUCAAGAGUGAACUGUAUUGGACUCGGUGAUGAUGCUCUGCCAAUCCAGGUUGGGAGGCUGCUCCAGAGAGAGGCUCGGGACAGACACCAGGACAUGAAGACGACAACACACUCUUGGAAUGAGGUCAAAAAAUCUGCCACAAGAUAUUACUGGCCUCCAGUUGACCACAUGUUCUCUCUGCUACACCAGGAGAAUUCUGUUUUGUGCAUUCAAAGGACUUUACAUGUCAUAGACUGUGGAAAGCAGUGUUGGAAUGUUCUAAGUACUAAAUUUACUGUGGGGAUGGCUAUCAUCAGCAUUCAUGAGUGAAAUAAAGGAUAGGCCUGUCUCAGGGAAGACUGGAGACACAACCAAA